UCUGUGGUGAGGCUCGGGCCAGCCUAGCUCCACGAGGACUAAACUAGGUGCUUUGAGCUCUCUUCACCCGUCUCAUCUGCACAGGACACCAACAGGUGCUGCCUUGUUACCACCAUGCCGGAAGUUGAGGUGAGUGGCGUUUGAGUUUUCUCUGCGCUGCUUAGUUCUUCUAACUGUUGAAGAUGGGGUGGACCUGAGGGGAAGAUGGAGAUAGGGUCAAAGCCAAGAUAGGAUGGGGAUGCCAGUGACGGAGAAAACUCCCAGGAGAAGAGAAGCAAAGACCAAAGCUGUCAUGUGCUUGGAUGCAGGGCUCCGGGAUGCCCCUCACAGGUCUUCAUGUUCUCCCCUGGGCCUUCCUCAAGCUCCUGCAUCCCCGGGGGCUUCAUUCUACCUCUUGCAAAGCUGUUGUCAUUUGAAAAGCUUUAUGGCUGAACACUGAGGAAGGAAUGCAGAGGAAAUCUAAGAUCACUGCCUCCCGUAAACUCAUGCUGAAGAGCCUGAUGCUAGCCAAGGCCAAGGAGUGCUGGGAGCAGGAGCACGAGGAGCGAGAGGCUGAGAAGGUGCGUUACCUCUCGGAGCGCAUCCCUACGCUGCAGACCCGCGGUCUUUCCCUCAGCGCCCUUCAGGACUUAUGCCGAGAGCUCCAUGCCAAGGUGGAGGUGGUGGAUGAGGAGCGCUAUGAUAUCGAAGCCAAAUGCCUCCACAACACGAGAGAGAUCAAGGACCUGAAGCUGAAGGUGCUGGACCUCCGUGGGAAGU
rnacentral:lncRNA from 1 species